UAGAGCCGUAUACGAGAUCCGUACGUACGGUUCAACGAGAGGGGCGGAAAUCACUGAAUUUCCCCUCUACUCUAU
rfam:Faecalibaculum rodentium strain Alo17, complete genome.